rnacentral:rRNA from 1 species
CCCGGGCCUUGUACACACCGCCCGUCACGUCAUGAAAGUCGGUAACACCCGAAGCCAGUAGCCUAACCUUUUGGAGGGAGCUGUCGAAGGUGGGAUCGGCGAUUGGGACG